UACGGAGGAUGCGAGCGUUAUCCGGAUUUAUUGGGUUUAAAGGGUGCGUAGGCGGACGCUUAAGUCAGCGGUAAAAUUGCGGGGCUCAACCUCGUCGAGCCGUUGAAACUGGGUGCCUUGAGUGGGCGAGAAGUACGCGGAAUGCGUGGUGUAGCGGUGAAAUGCAUAGAUAUCACGCAGAACUCCGACUGCGAAGGCAGCGUACCGGCGCCCUACUGACGCUGAAGCACGAAGGCGUGGGUAUCGAACAGG
rnacentral:rRNA from 1 species